ACCUACGGGGGGCAGCAGUGGGGGAUAUUGCACAAUGGGGGGAACCCUGAUGCAGCGACGCCGCGUGGGUGAAGGAGCGUUUCGGCGCGUAAAGCCCUAUCGGCAGGGAAGAAGAUGACGGUACCUGACCAAGAAGCCCCGGCUAACUACGUGCCAGCAGCCGCGGUAAUACGUAGGGGGCAAGCGUUAUACGGAUUUACUGGGUGUAAAGGGGGCGGAGACGGUGAUGCAAGUCAGAAGCGAAAGCCCGCGGCUCAA
rnacentral:rRNA from 1 species